AUUGAACGCUGGCGGCAGGCCUAACACAUGCAAGUCGAACGAGUGGCGGACGGGUGAGUAAUGUCUUGGAAACUGCCUGAUGGAGGGGGAUAACUCCUGGAAACGGUAGCUAAUACCGCAUACCAUCGGAUGUGCCCAGAUGGGAUUAGCUAGUAGGUGGGGUAACGGCUCACCUAGGCAACGAUCCCUAGCUGGUCUGAGAGGAUGACCAGCAACAUUGGAACUGAGACACGGUCCAGACUCCAACGUGAGACAGCAGUGGUGAAUAUUGCACAAUUGGGUCAAGUCUGAUGCAGCCAUGCCGCGUGUAUGAAGAAGUCUUUCGGGUUGUAAAGUACUUUCAGCGGGGAGGCGUUACCCGCAGAAGAAGCACCGGCUAACUCCGUGCCAGCAGCCGCGGUAAUAC
rnacentral:rRNA from 1 species